GGGAGGGGGUUGCGUGUGGUAAUGUGUGUUUAUAAAGACACAACGAAGGACUAAGGACAGAGGAGAGAGCGAGAGAGAGAGAGAGGGAGGAGGGAGGAGGGGGUGAGAGAUUUGUUAGGCACUUGUAUUUGCAAACUACUGGCUGAGUUCCCACUAGACGCAGGGAGAUCAGACUGCGUGUCAGCGAGUGUGUGCGUGUGUCUGGGAGAGACCGAGCAAGACGCAAACGAACCCAGUCAACCCCGGCAACUUUCCGUCCCUCAGACAGAGAAACCCCUGGAAGCUUUUCGCCUUAUACACUUGGGUCCCCGGCGAGCGGCCACUGACUUUGUUCGACUUGAGGAAAGAAGAGGAAGAGGAGGACGGGGGAAGGAACGGAGGCCGCGUCGUCAACGUCUCCACCGCAAAACACAUCAUCGGAAACUACUGUCGGCACCACGGGCCAGAGGGGAGACACCGGACAGAGCACUUCCUGUGUCAACAACAAGGUCACGGCGUUGCCAUGGGAACCAAGGUGGCCGACGGCUUUGUCUCUUCGACGAUGACUGUGUAGUUACAACACAAAUACAGUUACUGGCGGUGCACCCAUGAAUCCGACUUUAUCAAGACCAGUCAAACAAAAUGAAAAAACUACAGCUGUUUUUUAAAGGCUUAACGUGAUUAAAGUAAUAUUACUACUGAUCUAAAUUGUACAUCACAAUGGGGAAGCUAAACAAAAACAAGCAGUCACAACUCAUUAUUUAAUUUUAAAAAUUAAAUGGUGUUAUACAGGUUGCUUCUGUGACCCAGAAAAACCUCAUUUUAUGAACUCACUUUUCAGCUUUCAAAUGUGAAAUGAAAGAUAAUAAAUGUAAAUUCAGAAAGUUACUUUUGGAUGAAGUUCAGUAACACAGUAGUAACCAGAUAAAUCAGCAUAAAAAACAAAUAAAUGAAAAUCAGUUACAAAGCAAUGAAAAAAUCUAUUAAAUAAAAAAUACUUUUUUUGAAAAGUAAAAUUUUAUGGCUAUAUUAGUUGUCAAGAAUACGUUGAUCAAAUUGUUUGUAGCUAUAUUUAAAAUGAAAUAAAUUAUUCACAAAGUAUUAAAAACAAUAACAAAAAUUAAAACAUUUUUACAAGUUAA